rnacentral:rRNA from 1 species
CUCAUUAAAUCAGUUAUAGUUUAUUUGAUGGUCUCUUUUGUCUUUUUUUACCUACUUGGAUAACCGUGGUAAUUCUAGAGCUAAUACAUGCGCAAGGUCCCGAGCGCGGGGGGGCAGGGCUUCACGGCCCUGUCCUCGCAUGCGCAGAGGGAUGUAUUUAUUAGGUUAAAAACCAGCGGCAGGGGUCAGCAAUGGCCCCUGCCAAACACUCCUGGUGAUUCAUAGUAACUCUUUCGGAUCGCAUUCAUG